AACAAGGUCUCCGUUGGUGAACCAGCGGAGGGAUCAUUACCGAGUUUACAACUCCCAAACCCCUGUGAACAUACCACUUGUUGCCUCGGCGGAUCAGCCCGCUCCCGGUAAAACGGGACGGCCCGCCAGAGGACCCCUAAACUCUGUUUCUAUAUGUAACUUCUGAGUAAAACCAUAAAUAAAUCAAAACUUUCAACAACGGAUCUCUUGGUUCUGGCAUCGAUGAAGAACGCAGCAAAAUGCGAUAAGUAAUGUGAAUUGCAGAAUUCAGUGAAUCAUCGAAUCCUUGAACGCACAUUGCGCCCGCCAGUAUUCUGGCGGGCAUGCCUGUUCGAGCGUCAUUUCAACCCUCAAGCACAGCUUGGUGUUGGGACUCGCGUUAAUUCGCGUUCCCCAAAUUGAUUGGCGGUCACGUCGAGCUUCCAUAGCGUAGUAGUAAAACCCUCGUUACUGGUAAUCGUCGCGGCCACGCCGUUAAACCCCAACUUCUGAAUGUUGACCUCGGAUCAGGUAGGAAUACCCGCUGAACUUAAGCAUAUAACAAGG
rnacentral:rRNA from 1 species